rnacentral:lncRNA from 1 species
GAAUUACUAGAGUAAGUAACUUGGAGAGAACUAUCAUCUUAUGUGGUGUCCCCUAUGUCCUUCUGUUUUAAGAUUUGCUCUCCCUUCCAACAGUAUGGUACUCAAAGCCAGAUCCCACACAUGCUGCUGAUCCAGGAAAGAAUGAAAACAUCGCCCUCUUGUGUUAGUAGUGGCGCUCUGGGCCUACGUGAGGAAAGACAAAGAAUGAGAUUUGGGGGCGCAGUGAGACGGCUCCCCCGGGAAGCGCUACGGCUGUACCAUCCCAUGUGAGAAACUAGAAUUUCAAGAUCUUCCGAAGUUCCUGGUUUGGACACGCAGCAGAGCCAUUAGGUAAAGGAGGGGGCCGAUCAGAUCAUUGUCCUGUUAGUUGCAGAGAGCAAAAUCCUCAGUACUGGUCUCGCCUAAAAGAGACGAAACGUUUUCCCCACCACCUGGGCCACGUGUGAUCUGUCUCAAAUAGAAGCCAAAAGAGUAGCAUCUCCGAUCCCAUUAGAUUUCCUACCUUACAGCUUACUCCCUUGAUCCUGGUCCUGGGAAAACCCGCCCGAGUUGGCUGUCAUUGCAGCUGAGCUCUAAACGUCACUAACUCCUUAACUGCACCCACAGGAUCCUCAGUUAGGACCACGGCAAGCUGAUUGUUCUGUUCAAAGGUCACACCCUGCGUGUUUAGAAACUGAAAACGACAGACUUCAAAUGAAUGUGUGUCCGCAUGGCCAGGAUUGAGAAACCCCUUGAUUUAGAGGACAUCAAUUUAUAUCUUCGUUACUCCCAGAACUGUACACAUUUUGCUUGAACCCGACUGGAUAAAGUGCAAUUCUGCAACAUAUAUUUACAGAAUAUAUUGUAACGCAUACGGCCGACAUUAGAGGUUGUACGAGCCGGCUUACCAGCGCGGUGACGUCACCGCCCUUCCCUGUGGCGGGCGAUCUCCCUUUAGGUCAACAGUCUGGGUCCCUGUUGAGUGACGCCGGAGGCCCGGGUUCGAGUCCCCAGCGGUGGGGGGCCGACCUGAGGCGGCAGCGGCGAGGGCGCAUACCCACGUGACCCCGAAAACGCUACAAUAUGAUGAUAUAAAGUAUGUGACAUGAUGUCAAUGUACACCUG